CAGUCGCCGCGGGAAUACGAAGGGGGCUAGCGUUGUUCGGAUUUACUGGGCGUAAAGGGUACGUAGGCGGACUGAUAAGUCAGGGGUGAAAUCCCAAGGCUCAACCUUGGAACUGCCUUUGAUACUGUUAGUCUUGAGUUCGAGAGAGGUGAGUGGAACUGCGAGUGUAGAGGUGAAAUUCGUAGAUAUUCGCAAGAACACCAGUGGCGAAGGCGGCUCACUGGCUCGAAACUGACGCUGAGGCACGAAAGCGUGGGGAUCAAACAGGAUUAGAUACCCGUGUAGUCCCUGUCUCUUAUAC
rnacentral:rRNA from 1 species